rnacentral:lncRNA from 1 species
CAAUUUUAGAGUAAGAGAAAAGGGUCCCCGAGAUGGGAAGAAAACCAAAUAUGGCGGCAGGGAAAUACAUGAUUAUGUUAAUGGUGAAGGUGUCACAACAUGCAAGAUGGGGGAGUUGAGAAGGGUCACAGAAGAAAUUAGGAAUUUCCACAUCCUUGAAGCAGGUCACUUGUAAGGCAAUCAAGUUGUGCAGCUGGGCGUCUAAAAGCUGAGAAAAAAAAAAGACAACAAAACUAGGAAGCCACAGAAACACGGGUUCAUGAUGGCUGAAUGAUAUAGAGGGUGACAGAUGGCUACAAACCGGUCAUAGGCCAUCACACUCAGGAGCAUGUCUCUCUUCCAUGCCUUCAAAAAUGGCAAAGAGAGACAUCUGAAUCAGGCAGCCUGCAUAGGAGGUGACUCUGCUGUGAGACUGGAUGUCCACAAUCAUCUUGGUGACCGUGGUGGAGGUGAAACCGAUGUCAGCCAAGGACAGGUUGGAGAAGAAGAAGUACAUGGGGGUGUGGAGUUGGGAGUCAGGGCUGAUGGCCAGGAUGAUGAGCAGGUUGGAGAGGAAGAAGUACAUGGGGGUGUGGAGGGGAGAGAGAGAGCUGACAGCCAGGAUGCUGAGCAGGUUCCUCAGCACCGUGACCAGAUACAAGGACAGGGACAGGGAGAGCAAAGCGAGGACCAGCUGCAGUUCUAGAUCUUCUGAGAGUCCCAGGAGGAGGAAUUCUCAGACAUCUGUGAGAUUCUGUGGCUCUGUGUGUCUUGGACACCUUGAGAAAGAAAGAGGAUUGGAAAAAUAAAAUAUAAAAUCCAGCCCUUAAUGCUGGAUGCAAGCAAUUCACAAGGAACAUUUUCACACUUGCGGACCAUACACCACCAGCAAUGUUUCUCAGUUAUGACAAUUCCAAAAAAUCUCAGAAUUAUUACAUGAUUUACUUUUUUGCUAUACAAGGCUUUCUGUACAUAGUACUUUAGAGAAAAUCCACUGAAGAAUAUUAGAAGACCAAAACGUCAUAUAUAACAAAUCUGUGAUCUCAGUAAAAUACGGCCUACUCUUUUCAGAAAAAAUACAUUGCAAUGACAAUGUCCUUCUCUCUUUAAGAAAAAGAUCUCAGUCUAAUUGAAAGGAAUUAAGAAGCUGCGAAAUACACUCUAUUUUAUUCUGACACCGUGCUACAACUUCCAUUGAUGUAGAAUAUGUAAAAGGAUGACACAAGAGCUAGGACCCCAUUAUCUGAAAACGAAAUCAAACCUUAUAGUUCUCAAUCGGAAGACCUUUUCACAUGCCUGUUACUUUUCGUAUUUAUUAUCAUCCUUCGGUUUUCUGACAUCAUUUCUUCAUAAAAGUACAUACACACUCAAAGAUGGGAGCUGUGUUUCCAAAUGAAUUGAAUCUAUAACUCUUGGCCCAGCACCAUGGCUCACACCUGUAAUCCCAGCACUUUGGGCGGGCGAGGCUGAUGGAUCACCUGAGGUCAGGAGUUCCAGACCAGCCUGGCCAACGUGGUGAAACCCCGUCUCCAGUGAAAAUAAAAAAAUUAGCCGGGCGUGGUGGCAGGUAACCCUAGUUACUCGGCAGGCUGAAGCAGGAGAAUCCCUUAGAACCUGGAAGGCAGAGAUUGGACACCCUGUGAUAGGAUUUUUGAUAUCUUAGGGAGAUAUUGCUCCUGACAGCAGAGUGGGCGUACAACCUGUGAUAUUAUUUGUAAUAUCCUAGAAAGAUAUUGCUCCUAAUAUCAUGGUGGGUCUACACCCUGUGAUCUUAAUUGUAAUAUCCUACAGAGAUAUUACUCCUAAUAAUACAGUGGGUGUACACCUUGUGAUAUUAUUCAUAAUAUACUACAGAGAUACGACUCCUGAUAUCACAGUGAGUGUACACCAUGUUUGUACACUCUGUGAUCUUAUUUGUAACAACUUAGAAAAAUAUUACAGCUAAUAUCAAAGUGGGUGUACACCCUGCGAUGUUAUUUGUUAUCCACUAGGUAGAUAUUACUCCUAAUAUCACAGUGAGUGUACAUCAUGUGUGUACAGACUGUGAAAUUAUUUGUAAUACCCUAGGAAGAUAUUACUCCUCAUAUCACAGUGGGUGUACACCGUGAGUGAUAUUUUUUUCUAAUAUCCAGCGGGGGAGAGGAUGAUAUUGCUUCCAAUAUCACAGAAGGUGUACACCCCCAUGUGAUAUUGUUCCUAAUAUCCAGGGAAGGAGAGGAUGACAUUAUUCACAAUAUCACUGGGGGUGUACCACCUCCCGCCGGGAUAUUGUUCUUAAUAUCCGGAGGUGGAGAGAAUGAUGUUACUCCCAAUAUCACAGGGGGUGUACACCACCCCUGUUUGUAAACACCCCCUGUGAUAUUGUUCCAAAUGGCCUGUGAAAGAGUAAACAUGACUCCCAUUAUCGCGGGGGGUGUUCAGCCCUUAUGAUAUUGUUUUCUAACAUCCAGGGAAGGAGAGUAUGCUAUUACUCCCAAUAUCGCAGGGUUUGUACACCCUUUUGUGUUUUUGUGCCCAAUAUCCAGGAAAAUAGAGGAUGAUGUUUCUCCCAAUGUCGAAGUAAUUGUACAGCACCCCUGUGAUAUUCUCCUAA